GGGAGGCCUUGAACAGAUCCAAAGCUCUCUUGCCAUAUGGCAUGGCUCUCACUGUGAUUUUUAGAGAGUCUAGAGUGAGUUUUGAGGAGAUGGUUGUUUGUAGACUGUCAUACACCGAUACCUAUAACAACCACUCCCUUCGGUGCAUGGGGUUUGUCAGAGUUGAUGGCCGUUGGGCCAAGGGCCGUGCAGCUGCAGUUGAGGAGGAGGAUGAUGAG
rnacentral:lncRNA from 1 species